rnacentral:rRNA from 1 species
AUUGAACGCUGGCGGCAUGCCUUACACAUGCAAGUCGAACGGUAACGGGUCCUUCGGGAUGCCGACGAGUGGCGAAGGGGUGAGUAAUAUAUCGGAACGUGCACAAUAGUGGGGGAUAACUGCACGAAAGGGCAGCCAAUACCGCAUACGACCUGAGGGUGAAAAGGGGGGAUCGCAAGACCUCUCGCUAUUGGAACGGCCGAUAUCAGAUUAGCUAGUUGGUGGGGUAAAGGCCUACCAAGGCAACGAUCUGUAGUUGGUCUGAGAGGACGACCAGCCACACUGGGACUGAGACACGGCCCAGACUCCUACGGGAGGCAGCAGUGGGGAAUUUUGGACAAUGGGCGCAAGCCUGAUCCAGCAAUGCCGCGUGCAGGAAGAAGGCCUUCGGGUUGUAAACUGCUUCUGUCAGGGAAGAAAUCUUCUGGGCUAAUACCCCGGAAGGAUGACGGUACCUGAAGAAUAAGCACCGGCUAACUACGUGCCAGCCGCCGCGGUAA